rnacentral:rRNA from 1 species
AGUGAACGCUGGCGGUAGGCCUAACACAUGCAAGUCGAACGGCAGCACAGUAAGAGCUUGCUCUUACGGGUGGCGAGUGGCGGACGGGUGAGGAAUACAUCGGAAUCUACUUUUUCGUGGGGGAUAACGUAGGGAAACUUACGCUAAUACCGCAUACGACCUACGGGUGAAAGCAGGGGAUCUUCGGACCUUGCGCGAUUGAAUGAGCCGAUGUCGGAUUAGCUAGUUGGCGGGGUAAAGGCCCACCAAGGCGACGAUCCGUAGCUGGUCUGAGAGGAUGAUCAGCCACACUGGAACUGAGGCACAGUCCAGACUCCUACGGGAGGCAGCAGUGGGGAAUAUUGGACAAUGGGGGCAAGCCUGAUCCAGCCAUACCGCGUGGGUGAAGAAGGCGUUCGGGUUGUAAAGCCCUUUUGUUGGGAAAGAAAAGCAGCAGGUUAAUACCCCGCUGUUCUGACGGUACCCAAAGAAUAAGCACCGGCUAACUUCGUG